rnacentral:rRNA from 1 species
CCUACGGGUGGCAGCAGUCGAGAAUCAUUCACAAUGGGGGAAACCCUGAUGGUGCGACGCCGCGUGGGGGAAUGAAGGUCUUCGGAUUGUAAACCCCUGUCAUGUGGGAGCAAAUUAAAAAGAUAGUACCACAAGAGGAAGAGACGGCUAACUCUGUGCCAGCAGCCGCGGUAAUACAGAGGUCUCAAGCGUGGUUCGGAAUCACUGGGCGUAAGGCGUGCGGAGGCUGUUUCGUAAGUCGUGUGUGAAAGGCGCGGGCUCAACCCGCGGACGGCACAUGAUACUGCGAGACUAGAGUAAUGGAGGGGGAACCGGAAUUCUCGGUGUAGCAGUGAAAUGCGUAGAUAUCGAGAGGAACACUCGUGGCGAAGGCGGGUUCCUGGACAUUAACUGACGCUGAGGCACGAAGGCCAGGGGAGCGAAAGGGAUUAGAUACCCGGAUAGUC